UAAGAUCCUGAAUGUCCCGCUGUCGUCCCACCUGGCGGCGAACCACUUCAACCAGCAGCAGGCGGAGCAGGAGGAGCGGAUGAGGAUGAAGAAGCUCACCCUGGACAUCAACGAGAGGCAGGAGCAGGAGGACUAUCAGGAGAUGAUGCAAUCUUUCGCCCAGCGUCCGGCGCCAGCCAACACCAACCGAGAGCGACGGCCCCGCUACCAGCACCCGAAAGGCGCUCCCAACGCCGACCUCAUCUUCAAAACUGGAGGAAGGAGACGCUGAUCGGAGUCUGGGCCCGGGCUGAACGAGCGAGCGAGCAUCAGAGAGAAUGAGCCAGCAAAAGAGAGAGAGAGAGAGAGCGAGGAGGAGACGUGAGGGGAAAGCGGUCGCAGGCGGGAACGAGUCCUCCAGACGUCAGGACUGUCCAAAACCCUCCUGACCUGAACUCACACUGUUAGCGAAUCCAGAGGUCUGUGGGGGGGGGCGGCGUAUGAGAGGCGGCAUCAAGAGGUCAGAGGUCAGGGCUCAGACAGGGGCUCUCUUUCUUUUUUGUCUGUUAUCUGAAAUGACAGAAAAAAUGCCAGCAGUCUGGACUGGAGGACAGACCACACGCACCUGAGCAGCGGACCGGCGGGCUGGGGGGGCUUUAGCAGCUGUCACCGCACCAGCUGGAGGAAAAAUAAACUGCUUUAAAGAAGAACAUGUCUGCAUAUUCUUCUUUUUUCUUUUUGGGAACCAGUCGGAUCCACAGAGACUCUCAGAAGGCGAUCAGUUUCCGCUGGUUUUUGUUCCGCAAAGCAAAGAAGUGAAUCUUUUCAGAGGAAUCAUGAAGAAGAUCAGAAAAAGGAUGAAGACGAGGUGGAGGAUGUCCGCUGAUCACUUCCUAGAAGUCAGGAAGCGUUCUUAAUCUGUCAAAUAUUCUCCUGAUAAAGAAAAGCAAACAUUUCUGAUAAGAUGCUGAGAACAAUCUGAGGCUGCAGCUGCUUUCUUCCAUCACCACAGAUCUAUAAAUGUUAAACAAAACGUUUAAAUCUGUUUUUUUAUUUCAUGGUUUAUUACAGUUAAGAAUAUUUGUUUAGCAUUUGCUAGUUUUUCAUCAGCUGCAGAUUUAAGUUUAAUGAUUUUAUUUUGGGCUCAAUAAUUGACCAACAAUCAUUUCC